rnacentral:lncRNA from 1 species
GGCUUUUGGCUCAAUUCUGAAUAAACAGUGCACAUCCAUGUGGGAGCAAUGAGGAGGAACUGUAGCAUCUGGAACAGUCCAAAAAGGAAGCUGGGAGUCAGCCCAUCACGAGAUUGCUUGAUCAGAAUCACAUGAACUGGAAAUUCCCUGUCUCCCCUUAACCAGCACUGGAAGCAGAUGGGAAAAGAAUGGCUGUGACUGACUCACACUCUAACCCAGCAACCCUCAGCAUACAAGUGGGAGACCAUAAAGUUUUUCAAGACCCCAAAAGAGGCCAAAGGUCUGAUAAUUGCUGGGAGAAGGUCCACUAUCCAAGAAGAGAAGAGGAAAAGGAAUUAAAAUCUCCAAGCACUGGGGAUGCAAGAAGAGAGUUGCACAGGAGAGAAAGAAGAAGGCGUCCAUGGGGUGACCCUGCCAUUGGAGGGAAAUCCAUGCGGAUAUGUGCAGGGAGUCUAGGAAGUGAAGCCUUAGUGAUCAUUUACAAGAAUGAGGGUUAGGUAAAAUAAGGGAUACAAAGCCACCUGUAGUCUGUUCUAACCUCACUCCACCACUCUAUACAAUCUGUGUUUUGUCAUCUGAAACGUUAAGUAAAGACCUGUUUGGGUCUUCUUCGGAAUCCCAUACAUUUGAGUUCAUUAGUC